GCACAAGCGGUGGAGCAUGUGGUUUAAUUCGACGCAACGCGAAGAACCUUACCUAGGCUUGACAUGCAUGGGAAAGCCCUGAGAAACCAGGGCCCCUCUUCGGAGUCCAUGCACAGGUGCUGCAUGGCUGUCGUCAGCUCGUGUCGUGAGAUGUUGGGUUAAGUCCCGCAACGAGCGCAACCCCCGUUUCUAGUUGCCAGCGAGUUAUGUCGGGGACUCUAGAAAGACUGCCGGUGCCAAACCGGAGGAAGGUGGGGAUGACGUCAAGUCAUCAUGGUCCUUACGUCUAGGGCUACACACGUGCUACAAUGGCCGGUACAGAGGGUUGCGAGCUCGCGAGAGCAAGCCAAUCCCAGAAAGCCGGCCUCAGUGCGGAUUGGAGGCUGCAACUCGCCUCCAUGAAGCUGGAAUCGCUAGUAAUCGUGGAUCAGCUACGCCACGGUGAAUACGUUCCCGGGC
rnacentral:rRNA from 1 species